rnacentral:rRNA from 1 species
UAACGCGUGAGGAACCUGCCUUUCAGAGGGGGACAACAGUUGGAAACGACUGCUAAUACCGCAUAACACAUAGGUGUCGCAUGGCAUUUAUGUCAAAGAUUUAUCGCUGAAAGAUGGCCUCGCGUCUGAUUAGCUAGUUGGUGAGGUAACGGCUCACCAAGGCGACGAUCAGUAGCCGGACUGAGAGGUUGGCCGGCCACAUUGGGACUGAGAUACGGCCCAGACUCCUACGGGAGGCAGCAG